UUAUCUCCUGGGUGCAGUUCCCAAACAGGCAUACAUCAAAGUUGAAUUCUGUGAUCUAGUGUUUGCUUAUACAACUCAGAACUGCCAGAAAAUGCUAAGACUACAGUCUGCUGGGCUUCAGAAGAGAGUUCAAGGAAUGCACAGUGUUUUGAGGCAUUUGCAGCUUUGAAUGAAUGGUUAUUCUUGCAGCUGCUAACUUCUGUAUUAGGAAAAAGUGAGAUUCUAUAAGCAAUAAUCUUGAAAUGUACUGACCUCUUCAGACUUUGCUUCCAAAAAAGAAAUUGAAAUGAAAAAUGAAAUAUUUUCCUAUUUCCAAGAAUAGUUACCUUGGUAAGCAAUGAGUUUAGAAUGUCGUUAGAGCAAUGACUAUGUAAUCAGGUAAGCUUUAACUUAUGUGGAGCACUAUCCAAACAGUAAUUAAUCACAUUUCAGUUCUGUGUUUCCACCUCUCUCUAUUAUUUGAAUCUGUUUCUUUACUGUUAACAUAGGUGAAAUAAGAAUAUUUUCCCUGUCUGGUGUGGAAGAGUCAGGAUUUUGCUUCUAUACAAAGAGGCAACUAACAUCAAGCACAAACUAACACAUUAACUGUGCGGUUUAACAUGACAGGCAGCUAAACAUCUCACAGCUGUUUGUUCACUCCCUCCCCCGUGGGAUGAGGAAAAGAAUUGAAAAGAAUGUGCAAGAGCUCAUGGGUUGAGAUAACUAUAGAUUAAUGAGGAAGAAAAAAAAAGAGAGGAGGGGAGAAAAAGGAAAAAAACAAUACUGCAAAAAGAAUAAACAAAGCAAAGCAAGUGGUGCACAACAUAAUUGCUCACAACCCAAUGAUUGAUGCCCAGUCAAAGUGAAUGACACAGUUUCUUCUGAAGUUUUUCCUGCAUUUUCUGCAAGUCUUUAAAAAUAAGUACAUAUAAUUGUUGAUUGUUUUUGUGUGCUUGGUUGUUAUUUGGAUCUAUACUUGCUAGGAGGGGAAGGAAAAGCUGGAGUCAGAUAUUUCUUGCUUGAAUUCCUCUAGGAUGACAAAAGAAUAUGAACGAUGUCCUAUCUUACCAUGUGUGGCAAGAAUAGAAUCCAGAAAAAAGCAACUUGCUUUGUACAGUUACCAAAAUAGUUUUGCAGGUGGUUUACAACUCAGAAAGAUCUAUCUUUUCAUCCUCUGAGACCUACACUAUCUCGUAUCUCUUUGGUUUUCCCUGAGCUGUCUGGUAGUAACUUGUCAGGAUUCAUCAGCUGCAGUCACAGUUCUGUCUAACUUAAACUUCUUGUACAGGCAGUGUAACAGAUCUUCAAGGUAUGUUGUUUCCUAGAUUUCCAGUUAUUUAACUUCUCAGGGAGGAAUUAAAUAAUUCCUCCAUCAGAUCUUAAUGGCAGAUUGAUAGAAGCUUAUCUGUUUUAACAAACUCAGUGUUUGUUACAGAUCAGGCAUUUUUUUUUACUCGCAUAAAUACUUCCAGCAAAAUUGCAUAUUUUCCCAGUUAAUACUUUUAGAUGAAACUCUCUGUAAUUCUUAGCAGUAUGAUGUUUAGGUACUGCUGGAUUAUUUCUGAAGAUUUAUUUAUUUAUUUAUGAGAGACUGUUAAACACUCAGUGAGACAAGCCACCCCCAUGGGGCAUUCUGAAAAGUGAAAAAUAGGAAAGUUACCUUAAUUUCUUGGGAAUAUGUUUUGUCUGGUUAUUUGUUUUCUUCGUGUUCUUUAACAAACAAACAAAAAAAUAGCAAGGAUGUUUACAGUGUUUAAAAAAAUGCUUGAAUAUGACUUUAUUAGAGUGUGAAUAAAAAAUUAACGACUA